rfam:Pterocles gutturalis contig25781, whole genome shotgun sequence.
UCUGUCUGAUCCAUUAUUAAAGACUCAAAAACCAAGCAUAUUUUCAGAUGGCAUUUUGCACAGUCAGUGAUGUAUCUGUGCUUGAUGCCACUGUUCAAUUUUACCACUGUAAAAUGUGAUAAUAAUGUUAUCUGUUAACAUAAAAACAAAGAUCAACUCCACAGAAGCUGCUGGAAAUGGAUAACCAUAAUAUGCUUAAAUAUCUUAGGAACACACUGACAUAUACUGCUAAAAGUUCCUUAUAUUUAGGAAUUCUUGUAAGCGAAAUACUUGUGCUCGGUCUCAGCUGGUGUGCAUGAAGGAAUAUUCAUUUCCCAGUGGUAACACAGAAUUUGAGUUUUUUACCUUUUUUAUAUGUAUUUAAUGGAUUGAAACACUUUGAAGAAAAAAAAUGCAUACAUUUCUGGUC